rnacentral:rRNA from 1 species
CAACUCCGGUUGAUCCUGCCGGACCCCACUGCUAUCGGGGUGAGACUAAGACAUGCUAGUCAUGCGCUUCCAGGCCACGGUGGAGGUGCGGCGCACAGCUCAGUAACACGUAGCUAACCUACCCUUGGGACAGGGAUAACUCCGGGAAACUGGAGCUAAUCCCUGAUAGGUGAGGGCUCCUGGAAUGGGCC